CAGCUAAAUAUAACUACCAUAGCUAGGUGGUUAGAGAGGAGACAUACCAUACAGCUAAAUAUAACUACCAUAGCUAGGUGGUUAGAGAGGAGACAUACCAUACAGCUAAAUAUAACUACCAUAGCUAGGUGGUAGGUGGUUAGAGAGGAGUCAUACCAUACAGCUAAAUAUAACUACCAUAGCUAGGUGGUUAGAGAGGAGACAUACCAU